GCGACUGUAGCUCAAUUGGCAGAGCACUGGACUGUGACUCCAGGGGUUGCCGGUUCAAACCCGGUCAGUCGCC
rnacentral:tRNA from 1 species